UAGAGCGGAGGAAAACCAAGAAAAGCGGGGUUAGAGCAAUUCCCCUCUCUCUGCUCCCCCUUAACAUAAACUAUAAAUCUGUAAUUACCCUUUGCCUUAGUGAGGCCCCCUUUCCCUUUCUGUAGCUAAGUGUUCUCUUUUCAUCUACUAUGGGGUCCUUUUUCACUAUUCAGUCCCUCAUCUACUCAUCGUCACAUUCCAACAUGGUUCCUUGUGUAACUCCAUUGAUACCUCCACAUCUACAUACAGCUUCAUUGUCAAACAUCAGCUCCAUGUCCCCCCCCAGACACCUCAACAUCCCCCCCCAAACAUCUCUGCCCCCCAUCAGCUCAGCAUUAUUCCAGUAUCAGAGCCAGAACUCACCUCCUGUAGUGCUGUUCUAGGCCGAGCAAUGUGAUGGCGGAGAAGCCAAGUCCUGCAGCUCCAUCCAGCAGCUCUUGGUCCAAGGCAGCAACAGAGCAGAAGAGCUUCUUCAUGUGGGUAGAUGUGACCUAUCAUCCUGAUUGGGCACCUGCUGAGGGGAGGGGCCCACCCCAUGGGCACAGGUGGGGGCCGUUGAGGGGUGGAUUGUGAUUGGUUGGAGCCUGGCUCCUCCCCUCCUUGAUUGGUAUUUAAGGGCUGGGAAGGGCAGGGGGCAGCAUCAGUUCCAGCUCGGUGCUCCUAUGGGAGCAUUGAGGGAGAGGAUUCUCCUUCCUGCUGCUUUCGAGCUCUGGAUGCCAUAUGGGAUGCGACUCUGCUUGGAGAUCCUUUCCUUUGGGGUCAAUGCACUUAUGGAUGGGGGUGAGAAGGAGCUGUAUCUAGAGCCUCCUUCCUUUGGAUGGAGGGCUCAGCCUUCACAAUGGGAGUAUCAGCCCCAGUGCUGGCUCCUAUGGGACGUUGUUCAUCACUAUCUCCAUCUGGACACGGAGCCAUUGGCUGCUGCUCUCUGGACUCGGUUCUACAGCCAGUUCUUCAUCCAUCUCAUCAUCUUCCCGUCCACUUGGUGUCUUCAUCACUUGGACAUGAGGAUGGUGUGGGGUCCUGCAUCAGAGGCCUUGUUGAAGUCUAAGUAGAUGAUAUCAGCAGGUCUUCCUUCAUCUGCUGAUGUAUCAGUGCCAUCAUAGAAGUCUAUGAGGUCAGUCAAUGAGGAUUUGCCCUUGGUGAAGUCACACUGGUUCUCCAUCAUCACCUCCUGCCUUCCAUGAGCCCUGGGUCCUUCUAUGAGGAUCUCCAUCAUCACCUCCUGCUUCAAUGAGCCCUGGGUCCUUCUAUGAGGAUCUCCAUCAUCACCUCCUGCCUUCCAUGA